AAAAAUUGGAACGAUACAGAGAAGAUUAGUAUGGCCCCUGUGCAAGGAUGACAUGCAAAUUCGUGAAGCGUUCCAUUAAAAA
rnacentral:snRNA from 1 species